CCUACGGGGGGCUGCAGUGGGGAAUAUUGGACAAUGGGGGCAACCCUGAUCCAGCCAUGCCGCGUGUGUGAAGAAGGCCCUCGGGUUGUAAAGCACUUUCAGUGAGGAAGAACGCCUGGUGGUUAAUACCCAUCAGGAAAGACAUCACUCACAGAAGAAGCACCGGCUAACUCCGUGCCAGCAGCCGCGGUAAUACGGAGGGUGCGAGCGUUAAUCGGAAUUACUGGGCGUAAAGCGCGCGUAGGUGGCUUGAUAAGCCGGUUGUGAAAGCCCCGGGCUCAACCUGGGAACGGCAUCCGGAACUGUCAAGCUAGAGGGCAGGAGAGGAAGGUAGAAUUCCCGGUGUAGCGGUGAAAUGCGUAGAGAUCGGGAGGAAUACCAGUGGCGAAGGCGGCCUUCUGGACUGACACUGACACUGAGGUGCGAAAGCGUGGGUAGCAAACAGGAUUAGAUACCCCAGUAGUC
rnacentral:rRNA from 1 species